rnacentral:rRNA from 1 species
UACAGAGGUCUCAAGCGUUGUUCGGAUCAUUGGGCGUAAAGGGUGCGUAGGCGGCGCGGUAAGUCGGGUGUGAAAUUUCGAGGCUUAACUUCGAAACUGCAUUCGAUACUGCCGUGCUUGAGGACUGGAGAGGAGACGUGGAAUUUGACGGUGUAGCGGUGAAAUGCGUAGAUAGUCGAUGAAGGAAGACCAGUGGCGAAGGCUGGGUCUC